AUUAAAAAAAAGAAAGAAAAUAAAAAAAAAAGUAAGUAUUUCAGAAUUUCUUUGAUGGUAAUCCAAAAUAGUCACACUCUGAAAAAAGUAUAUUUUUUCUUCAUUCUAAGAAAAUAAAUAAAUAAAUAAAUAAAAUAAAAUACAAAUAAAAAAUUCUUUUUUCCCAUAGUGAUAUUGUAAUUAUCACCAACAUCUGAUGCAAAACCAAAGCACAGAGAGAUUGCUUUUCUAGCCCAUUGUCUUGGCAAGAAUUUCAUUCUUAGUAUUUGCACUUUUAGAAAAAGACUGUAAAGACCUUCACUGUGGCCAGGAGAAUACAUCAGAAAACCUUCUGAUAGCUUUGUCCUUGUUUGUCUCUCCUUCUUAGUAUAAAAAAUGGGGUCAGUCUGUCAUGUGGAUCUUUAAAAUGCCUCCAGUAUAUUUCCCCACCUGCAGGUAUUAAGGGGUCAGGAGACCAAGGUUGCAUUUAUCACAAUUUCUAGAAAAAAUGUAUUAUCUUCUUUAAAUAUUUUAGGAAUGAUCUCACUGAAAUCUGAAUAUCAUAGUAAGUGACUUUCCCCUUAAAUAUUAAUGAAAAGGAAAACUGAAGGAAACGGCGCUGCAUAAAAAUCAAGUGCCGUGUAAAAAGAGGCUCUUCAUUAAUGUGCAUGUAUACUCCUGUGGCUGCUGUGGACAUGACCUCACAUUCAGUAAAUGUUAAUACAGCAUCCAAAGAAAUAGUCUCUUCAGCAAGCAGCCCUUACAAAAAGACUAAUUCUGAAGCUACAUCACAAACUUGGUGUUGAUUGGCCUUGAUCUGACUUAAAACAGAGUGUUUUUUUGUUGUUGUUCUUGUUGUCUGUUUGUUUGUUAUUUUCUAAUUUCUUGUAGUUUACAUUACAUUUAGUAUAGAGCAUUUUGUUUUGUUUUGUUUUCUCCCUUUACUCUGACUUAAACCAAGACGAAGUCAGUCCCUGUGGGUAAAGCUCUGUGUUAUGUUCAGGGUUCCAUAUGUGGAAAUUAAUGAGAUGGAUAAAAACAAGUCAUGUAUUAAUUUGACUUGAAAUGCUUUCUGUUCUGUGAUACUCAGUAGUGAACACUAUUUGGAAGAGUUGUGUGGAAAUGAAUUUUCCAUCCAGUGAUUUUUUUUCUUGCCACUAGUCUGUCUCAGGACAGUUUCAAGAGCUGUCAAAUUUGCAGAGAAAAAUGAGGGUGAAAGACCUGAAUCUACCCAUAGCAGCUAAUAGCCCAACCAUCAACUGCCAUAUCAGGGAGCUACUUUUACUUUCCAUUCUGGCUUCCAAAGAUCAAAUCCUUGAACCUUAUGACGUAUUGUAUGAACUCCAAAAUAUGUGCUGAAGAAGAAAGAGGUUUUCAUCUCUCGCAGCUGAAAUGUUCCUAGCUUGUAAAAAACAGUUAAAUACUAAUUAGAGAUGAAAAUUAAAUUCAGAUCUCCCUCUGAGAUAAGUUUUGAAAAUAACUUAUUCUGCAGAAAUCUUGGGCAUUUUUUGACUAAUUUCCAUUCUGUACCCAACAUUUCAAAUGGGAAUACAUGAUUUCUGAAAGUGCCUGGCAGUUUUCAACCCAUAUUUCUGUAUGAGUGUUUCUGUGUGUAUUUAUGAGUAAAUCUACCCAAACUGAGUUGUCACAACUUAAACACAUAGGUUCUGCCCAUUUUGUUUAGUUACAGUUACCUUUAUUGUGUUGAUUGUAGUGCCUCACGGUGAAGUGCCCUCUUGGACUUACAGCUUUGAUAAUGUUCAUAUGGUGAGAGCAUUCACCUCAAUUCUCUCCGACUCCAGGACAAAAAGGAAAACACAGUAUGGGGAGGCAGCAAUCAAUAGGACAUCCCUUCAAAAAUCUGCAUUUUCAGAGACAAACUGAGUAAUUUGCACAUAAUUAUUUAAUACUUGCCUUUCCACAAUCAGAGGUUAGAGAACAUAUUGUGUACUAAGAGGCUUUUACGAGUUCACAUUUCCAUCUGGAGCUGUAAAAAGUGUUUCUAAUCUAACACAGGGGCUGCGACAUAGAACAAACUGUGCUUUAGUGCAUUUUUUAUUGGGAACAAACCCGUCCUUUAUAUUCUGUUAUAGUUUUCCUAGGCCUAAAAGCACCGUCAGUGGAAAAGGCAGCAUCUCCCAGCACACCAGGUCUGCUAAACUUAAUCCCCUUCUGUACAAAAAAUGGCGUAAAUGGAAUUAAUUAUUUAAUAUCCCCUUACUGACACAGGGUAGUAAAAAAAGAUCAGCUUGAUAAUGCUUCUUUCUAGCACUUUCUUUCCAGAAGUCUUUAAACCAUUGCAGCUGCCUUCUGCAGUGGAGUGGGAGAUUGCUGUGCAAGAGAGGACUCCAAAAACCAAGGAUAAAACAGUUCUCAAGAGAACAGAUCAUCUGACAAAGAGGAGCCUACUAACAAGGCCUUCUUGCUUCAGCAUCAAGAGGCAUCGUGCUCACAGACUUUCAUCUUGAUGGGAGAUUUCAACCGCAUGGAUGUAAGCUGGGAAAACAACAUGGAAGGUUGAAAAUAUUCCAAGAGACUGCUGAAGAUAACUACCUGGUCCAGGUAUUGGACAGAUCAACUAGAGGUGAAGCAUUGCUGGACCUGGUGCCCAGCAAUGCAGAGAAAAUAAUUGGAGAUGUUAAAGUUGGAGACAGUCUGGACUGUAGAGACCACGUCCUGGUUGAGUUCAUGAUCUCAAGAAACACAGGCCUAGCAAAGAAUUGAGUCAGGACCCUGAACUUCAGAAGAAGGAACUAUUGGCAGUUUAAGAAUUAUUGGAGAAGAUUCCUCUGAGAGACUGUUCUUAAGGACAUAGGAAAAAAUGUACCUGGUAGCUCUAUAAGGAUAUAUUUCUGAGACCUUUUCAACCCCCAGCAUAAUAAAUCAAAUACAGGAGGCGGGAAAUCAGCAAGGCUGAGCAAGAAUUGAUUGGUCAAAUCAAGGGACAAGAUGGAAAAGUGCAGAUGGUGGAAGCAGGGACAUAUGGCCUGGGAAGAAGGGAUGCCAUCCGGACAUGCAGGGAUGAGAUCAGAAAAGCCAAGAUGCAGGUGGAGCUGAACUUGAUGAGGGAUGUGAAAAAUAACAAGUCUUUCUUUAGGUAUACCGGUCCGAAGAGACAAGCAAACUGGCUUCAACAGACACGGAGAAGGAUGACGUACUGAAGAAGUUCUUUUCCUUGAUCUUCUCUGCUAGUUAGGCUUAUCAUGUCUCUUAUGUCCCUGAAACUCAAGGCACCUGUCCGGAAAGAGAAUAACAACAUAUCCCAGAAGACUGCGUUCAGAGAGGAGAUAUAACCCCUGGCAGGGUCACCUGACUUCUCUUUUUUCCUUCAGCUCUCCUCCCUGCUGCUCGACCUGACUGCACAUCUCGCCUCAGCGUUGUGGUAUGGCCUUCAGUUCUUGGACACUUUCUCUCUCUUUCAUUACAUUUGAUUUAUUACCUUAGAUUCUAAUUGUAUUGUAUUAUAGUGUGUUAUCUUCCAUUCCAAUACUAUAUUUAGUAAAUUAGUUUGUUUCUCCUCAGAUCGUUGCUGCUAUUUUUCAUUAUUCAGGGUCCCCUGUUUCCCCUUUCAGAAGGUGUGGAUCUGUGGAUCCACAUUAGGAAGAAGUGAUGCCUGCAGAGAGACAUGGAUGGACUAGAGAAGUGGGCUGACAUGACCCCAGUGCGAUUUGGCAAGGCUAUGUGCAAGGUGUUACUUGUGUCACAUAUAUUCCUAUUAUGCAUGGGAGAAGAACUCAUUGAGAGCAGACCUGCUGAGAAGAACUUUGGAGUCCUGGUGGACAAAUAAUCCAGGCAUGAGCCGUUAGUGUGCACUUGCAUCUCAGAAGACAAACUGAAUCCUAAGCUGUAUCAAAUCAGGUGUGGUUAACAGUGCCAGGGAGGUGAUUGUCCUCUCUACUCUGCUCUUGUGAGCAUCUGGAGUACUGUAUCCAUGUCUGGGGCCCUAUCAGUGCAAUCACUGUGUGCAUUAUUUAUAAGUCUGACAUUGGUCUAAGCUGUGUAAAUGAGCACUGGUUAAUGCAGAGGAAAUGUAAAAAGUAUUCAAACUUUUAAACAUAGGGAAAUCAUAUUCAUUUAACAGGGAACAGCAAAGCUGGCUGUUUUAUUUUUCCUUUGUGUAUAAGAAACAUACACCAUUUUGCUUGACAUUCAGUAUGAAUAUGCAAAGGCUUUUGAUACAUCUGUUGUUAAUAUGCAAGAUAAUGAAUGUGCUUAAAAUUCUGCUCUUCUUGUCUGCUGAUUAAAUGAAAUAAGCAGAACAGUCCACCAUAUCUAUAUGCUUUAGAGGACCAAUGUUUGCAACAAAGUAGUAACUGUUCACAUUACGUUCUGUUUUAUUACUAUUUUCUGAUGGAAAACUGUUUUUUCAUGAAGCUCCAAAUUUUUCAAUGAAAAUAUCCACCACAAAAAGAAAAACAAAAACACUUAAUCUGUUAACCCUUCUUACUGCAUUUCAAAUGAAUAAUAUUACUGAAGACUGAAGGAGAUGUCUAAUAUUUUACAUUGCUUUCUGGAAAUAGUGGUGGUUCCUGUUUCCACAUGUUCUCCAGUUAUUGUGGAGAGGGAAUUCAUGCUUGGGUAAACACCAUGGCCAAGACACUACUGUUCCUCUCCUCACUUCUCUAAAAGGGUAAAAUAAUUAAACUUAUUAUUUCAUAAGGCAGUUUGGCAUAUAAUUUUGAUAUAAUCAUAUGGAACUCAAAUGACGUAAAGUUACACACAGUACAAAAAAUAUUGAGAUAGAAGCAUUUUCAAAAAUCUGACCAAUUCCAUUGUUUGUCUAAAAUUAAAUCUUAAAUCUUUAUGAAGAUGAAUCUAUAUUACAAUGAGUUACUGCAUUUUUUUUUCAUUAAAAUAUUGAGGGAUUCUAAUCCAUUAAUCCCGAUGUUAAUUAAAAAAAAUCGUUGUCAAAAUGAUAGACUGUUAUUAUUAUUAUCUUUUUUUUAUAUUCUUUUUCUUUUCAAUUAUAUCUACUCCUUAGAGAAGACACAACCCAGGUGAAUUAAUUUUUUCUCUCAAGAAAAUAGCGAGGACUGAGUUUGCCGAAGAGCUUCUAUAAAAGUGGAAAAAGACAAGCUCUCAUCUAAUAAUGUUCCUAUUAAUACACUUUUCUGUGUGUGCUUUUGCUUUGAACAUAUAACAGUAAUGAAAAAAUACAGUGGUAGACACUUGAUAUUUGUCUAUUUAUAUUUAUUUAUUAAUAUAUUAAUAUAUUAAACAAUAUUUAUAUUGUUUAAAAGGCAGCUAAUUUUGGAAUAAAUAAAUAAAUAAAUAAAUAAAUAAAUAAUCCCACAACACUCCAGAGUUCAGUAAAGAUGAAAGAUACCCCAUGAGAUUUAAGACACAAUUUGGUUGUGCAUUUUCAACCCAUAUGAGUAAGUAGGAAGGGAUGGCAAUGACAAACUUGCCACUAACACCACAUAAUGGUGCAAUGGGUCACUCUAGUCUGGUGAUGUAUGCUGUUGUACGAAAAAAAGAUUUUUCUAUAUCCACAUGAGUUAUUUAAAUUGCUCUUCCAUGUCAGAACACUGAGCCUACCACAGCGGUGGCCAGCAUAAUAUGGGAUAGGAUAUGAGGUCCCCAAGUUGUGGUGCUCCAGAGCCAUGGGGUGGAUUUUCUGCUAAUAUUAAGAAAGUGACACCCUAGCUACUUGAUCUGCUGUCUAAAUCAGUUCUCCAUCUACAAUAUUAACAGUACCAUACAUUGUAUGGUUAGAUUAAAUAAAGACUGAAAGCUCUUAAAUACAGAGUAUCAGAAUGCAUUAAAAUAGUUAUGCAUCAAAAUUAAAACAAGACAGUUUUAAAAUAUCUAUUGUGGACCGAAGAUCAGCUACAAAAGAAUGUGGUUCUGGAAGAAUGUUCUUUAUUUCUGGCAGCCCUAUGAAACUAGCAGUAGGACUGCUGGCACUGUCUUCUAGGUCUUGGGGGAUGCUUUUAAUCCAACAAGGCACUGCUAUUAUUAGGAAGGCUGCAGUGUAACUACACCAUCAUUGCAUUCUGUCAGUUUAGUUUUGCAUGAACCAUUUGGUUCAUGACGCUCUAAAUUUAAUACUGUGCUACAGAUAAACUAGAAACAGAAUAAAUAUUGUAAGAACAAAGCUGUCACAGAAACACACUCUGAGUGUUUCGACCCCAUUCAAAGGCCCUUCACUAUAAUUGUCUCUGACAGAAGGCCCCUGUACAGUGAGUACUUUAGUUGCCAAUGACCUUAAACACGAUUAUCAUUAGCCUUCUUGUAAUACUCUCUCUUCCUUGAACUCAAAUUACUGUGCUUCUCAGAUGGAUUUAUAAAGGCAGUUCAAUACUGUAGUUAGAAUAAUCCGAGCUGUUUGAAUCAAUGCUGUGUCCUUUGUAAAUAAAGCUGUUCUGAAAUGCAUGCUGUAAUAAUUAUAUCCAUAAUUUGUUACAGUUAUUGUAAUAAAUUUGACUAUAAUAAUUUGAAUUAUUGUUGCAAAGAAGCCACAAGGAUUACUUGAUUACUUAAUCAAGUAAUAAUUUAUGCUGAUAAAUAUAUCAGGGCCAUUCCUAAAGUUAGGGUUUGUUUAAGCCAAACAUUUAAAUAAUUAAACAGUUGUUCAGAGACAAUAAAGCUACUUUGACUUGAAAACAAAACUCACUUACCAUUUGUAAACGUGUAUAAACUUAAAAAAAAAAAAAAAGAGCAAAAGAAAAAUAUGUUUGUUUUUUUUUCCUUCACUCAUUGUUCCCAAACCUGACAGCCUGCCAAAGGCAGAGAAAAAAGCCCUUGACCAGACACCCUGAAAAGGUUCAGACAUUCUUUACUACAGAUCCCAUUAUUGAUGAUUUUAAUGGAGAUUGGAUGUGGUUUUGUUUUGUAUUGCUUCGUUUUCAUACCUAAAAUUUAACUUCUAAUUCAGAUAGAAGCCAGGGAAAGUCAGUAGUCCUUGUUAAUUACAGUUGUGACGGUAACCUGUAAUACUUAAUUUUUAGUUUUUCUUGUAACCAUUAUUCGUUUGCCUGUAUCAGAAAACAGGUGGGGCACCCAAUGUUUGAAAAAAUAAUAGCUGGUGAUGUAAUUUCAAUUUAGGCAUCUGAAAACCGAAUUUUCAAACUGCAUUUUAUUUUCUCUCUAUAUUAACUUACUGAUAAUUUAAUGGAAUGUAUGUUGGAUUUUUUUCUUUUUUUUUUUUUUUUUUAUUUAGCCAGAUACUAUUCUCAGCACUACAAAAUCACAAAGAUCAAAAUCUGUAUCAGCAGCAUGCAUACUCUGUGGGUUCACCAAGGCAUCACAACAUCAUUUAUUGUCUUAUUUUUCUCCUUUACCUUUUAUUUUCCUUCCUAAAUUUCAAAACAAAUAUAGAUAAAGUAAUUCCAGUUGAAAAUGUCCAAACAUUGUUUGUGGAGGACAAACUUUGGAUCUCAAACUUUUGCUACAUAAGCAUAUGUCUGAGAUACUGCAAUGAUAAAAGUCUUUAUCUACCAUUUACAUGCAGUGUGGCCCACUGAAAUAUCCAGUUUGCAUUAAACCAGUUGAAAGUCUGCAUGAUAAAAUGUCUGAGCAGCAACUAUUUUAUUAGCCAGCUGUGGUUUUGUCUGGGUCUCACUGAAAUGACUUGGUGUCUUACUCUCCAUGAAACUCAUAGGUGGUACUUAUCUCCUAAAAAGAGCAGCAAGGAAAAUUUGCCAAUAGCUAUAAAACAAGCAGUGAAAUUUAUGAUGUCCGGACUUGUAAUUCCACUUACUUCCCCUCAGGGAAAAUUCCUUCUUUCAUUGCCACCUUAUCAGGGUCUGUUGGUUUUACCCCUCAAGUGACAGAGAAGUCACAACUUCUUUCAUCAGUGCAAAAGACUGUAUAAAUUCUUUUUUUUUUUUUUUUUUUUUUGGGGGGGGGGGGUAUUG